AGAUAUGAGAUUUGGGUCUAAGUUAAAAAAAACAAAACAACAAAACAAUCAUGAAAAUGAUAACAAAAAUUAUAUAAGCAAAGCACAUCUUCACAGUUUAUUAUAGGCAUAGAUAUGGGAAUAAUAAAAAAAAAAAAAAAUCAUUUUGCUGUUUAGGCACAAUAAACAAUGUUACUGUACCAUAUGAUUACUGUGAUCAGAUAAGAAAAACAUGAAAAUUUAUAGAAUUAAACCUUAGACUUUUUUUUAUUUAUACCUUGUCUGUCAGUGACUGCAGUUAUAGUGAACUCUGCAGCCUUAAUAAGAAAAAAAUACAAACUGUUAUAACUCAUAUGAAACGAAAAAUUUCUUAAAUGGCAAUUGUUACAUUGAACCAAAUCGAGCCAUUAAUGGUACCAUAAACAAGGUAAAGGUAAAAAGGUCUGCAUGAACUAGCCUCAUUGAUGAUUGAUGAAUAGCCUAUAUUUGUCUCUUCACUAACUGAGUCUCUGACUUUGCUUCUCUGUUUAUCAGCCCUCAAACAUUGUCAUAUCCCAUACUGUGUUGGGACAAGCAUUCAUUUUAUAUGCCAUGUAGAUUGUAGAUUUAUCUUUUGCAGCCAAUAGUUUCUGUGUCUGUAACCUUCAAUGCCUUUUAUUCAAAUGUAGCAGUUGUAUUUCAUCUUACAGACCCCAGCUGAUUAGUUGUAAACCAUUUGCUAGUCUUUGAAUAUCACUAUAUCCAUAACUGGGUGCUGUCAUGGAAUGACAAACCAUUGGUGUGGAGAAGUGGCCAAUCAGAAUCAAGUAUUUAUCACUGCUUUAUAAGAAAAUGAAAUGUAUGUCCCAUAGUUUUUGAGAUGGUUGAUACUCCCUCCCAUUGGAGUUGUAAAAAAAGGUAAUUGUUGUAUAGAGAGGAGAUCUUCGUUAGCUCUGAAGUUGCAUUUUCAGGAAAUAAACAAACCUGGCCUUAUGAUUAAUGGUUCGUUAAGGCAGUAUUGCAGAUACUUUAUUCCUAGUCUUAAAAAAUGUUCACCAGAGAAAUACAAACAACUCCUUCUGUGGGAAGAGUAAUUAUUCACAAAAUUGUGUCAAGACUGCCAAAGUUCCUUAUAAACGGCAUCCUUUUUUUUUUUUUACAUUUUACAUAAAAGACCGGAAUAUAUGGCAAACAAAUGACUGUGUCUGUUAAUAUCUAAUAUCUGUGAGUUCUAGAAUUUACUUUAAGAUUUGAUUCUGACAAACACACGCAUUAGCACGCUUACACACACACACACACACACACACACACACACACACACACACACACACACACAAAAUGUACUGCCAAAGCUUAUUGCUUUAUGGAGUGUAUCACAUAGCUCUUACCUGCACUCCAGUUCUGUAAGUAACAGCCACACAAUAGGGUACUAGGCGUGGUCAAAUUAUCUGUAGGGGUGGUUAACUGAUGGUUAGUCAUGUUAAUAUAUUUUUUUGCCCAUGAAAAUAAACUUAUAUAAUGGCCCAGUAUUAUAACAGUGUUUUAAUCUACAACCAAUUAUUCCAAGAAGGGAAUUGAAAUGUAGAAUUGUACUUGUGAAAUUUGUCAGAAGUACAAUAGAGUAAGUGAGAAAGUACAUGAUUAGAUAAACGUCUGUGUUGUUAACAGCAACUUACUUUGUGUCAUGACGGAGAAAUAGGGGCUGACUGUAUCAGGUGGUUGAGUCCUACAAGAGUAGUUGCCAGUGUUUUCCUUUGUUGUGGAGCUGAUGCUAAGGACCAGCACCACAUUGGAGAAAGUAGAGGUGAUGUUUAGGAUAGACACUCUAUCCUGGGGGACAAAAACAACAAUUGUUGUUAGGAGGACACUCUUGAAGCACGGGCUGAGUUUCUCUCUUUAUUGGUUUAGUUUCAUGUCCUCUGAAGUGCUCAAGACAGUAUGCAAAACGUGUAACAAAAAUUCUUAAACAACAAGCAAACAGGUUGAUGUUGCACUCUACAGGCCACCUUCUCUAGUGAUAAAGGUCACUAGAGUUUCCAGUAAAGUUAUUUAAGAAUUCCGUUCCCAUUGUAUAUGUCAGAAGUAAGAGACUUACUGUGACCUCCUCAUGUCUGCUUUCCCUCCACAGCUGUGCAACAUGUUGGGGUCUUAAACAUGUGAAUUCACAGGUAAGUUUGAAGCUCUCCUCAUGAUUUGGCUGGUCAACAGACAUGCUCACUGUUGUUUCCCUGCAUCCACCUUCAAAGGAGGCUAUGGAAGAUGAAUCCCAAAAAUGUAUUGGAAUUCCUCUUUUAAUAGAUUGUAAUCCACAUGAAAUAACAGUUAUACUUAUCUUAUUUGGACACUGGGCAAGCUUGUUAAAACUUUUUUUUCCCCCUGUGCUUAUCAACCAAUACUCAAUGAAGCAGCAGGUGCCUAAGAUUUUUGAUAUAUCUAGUAUGUAUAAAUUAAAGAAAAAAUCUAAAACUAAAAAGCAACUCCCCAUUCGCCCGUUGCUCGGAUGGUCUUUGAAGCACUGAGCAAAACCUUUUUUCUCUGUGGUUUAUGUGAUACAAAAGAACCUUGAUGUUAGAAAUGCAAUAGUUGUACACCCUUUUCUAAAGAUAUUUGCCACAAGCCUCGGUCCACUCCUUGGAAAGCCCUACGUUGAUAGCCAAUUUGUUCUUAAUCAUUUCAAGGUUGCAGUCAUCUCUUUUCUUACGACACCUUUCCCUUACAGGUAAGUUUUCAAUAUUAUGCUUUGACUCAGAUCUCUCUGAACAGCCAGCCUUUUCUUAGCAACUUAAAUGACUUUGUGUCGCUUGGGGGGAUUGGAUGAGGUUGUAUGUUCUGAACAAGACCAAGGUAUUAAAUUCAAAAGGAGGACACUCUGAUCUUUAACUUUGUAUAAAAUAUCUUAUUGCGCACAAUUUUGUUGCUGCAUCUGUCUGUCUGUCUGUUUAAAAAAAACACUCCAGCAGGUGGAAAUUUCAUCACAAUUCUGAAAAACAUUUUUUUAAAUUAGGGUUUUCUUUUCACAGUUUGGGCAAUGAAUAUGAGUAGGCCACUAACAAAAAAUAGAAUUCAAACAGCCAAAAAAGACUACUAACCCCCGAAAGAGUCUUGUGAGAGGAAAAAUUAUCACUGGUAAGGACACAUUCAAAACAAAGACAUAUAGCAAAAUAAAAGAAAUGGGUAAUUUAUAGAUAUCAAUUAAAUCAAAGAAGCUUGUACAUUCCCAGAGAAGCAUUUUUUUCUUAUUGUAGCUAGUAUAUUGUUUACUUUUUAAUAAACAUUCACCUUGAUAAAAAAUAGCCAAUUUUACAAUAACAAAUAAGCUCACCUCCUGUCAGAUUCCAGCAAAGAAAACUAACUACCAGAAACAACAUGUCUGGUUCUUCUCUUGUUACCUUUAUGUGAAUGUCAAUUUGAGGAUUUUUCUGGUUUCAGGGUUAUUUUUUCUCACACCACAGCACCAUCUGAUAAAAAAAAAGCUGCUGACCUUAGUCGCAGACAGGAUGCUCUGCACUGUUGAGCUGAUGUAAGCUGCGAUAACCAUAGCACAAAAGAUUUCCAUGGUCCACCAGAUUAUGUGGUUAUAAAGAAAAGUCCCCAAAUGCUCUGCAGUCUUAAAGAGCUGAUGGUAGAGAUUUUAAUAGAAUAAGAAUGCUGAGUAUGGAAAGAAAAAAGUGAAGAAAUCUUUAACUUCACGUAUUCACAGUGUUGUACUUAGAUAUAACAAUUCAAAAAGGAAUUAUAUCUUCAAAAAGGAAUUGUUAUAUCUUCCUUAAUUGAGUCCAUAUAAUGGACUCACUUAAAGGAAUGGAAGACAAAAGAGCAGAGAAAACUCUGGACACUAUGGAAUCUCUCAUUGUAAUUAUGAUGAGAUCCCCGAUGUAUGUAUAUAAGUAUAGCCAAAUUUUGACUUCUUUCUUUAAUAGCUUCCAUAUAAUGGGACCACUUGUCCUGAAAUAAACCUUAACCCAAAUAAACCUUGAGGAAAGAAAAUAAAGAUCAGAAGAGGUGUGUCUUACUUUAGUGCUAUUGUUUCAGAUCAAUUUUAGGACCUCUGGUAACAUGAAAUGAAAGCUGUUGAAGAAAGACUGCCUUUUUGGGAACUUCAGCUGGUUUACUAGUCCCUUAUUAAACACACGAUGUUGACAGCAAGGAUGCUGAGUAGAUUUAACCGCACUGCUGUUGCCAAGACACUGGUAGAUCUGCAGUGAAUGUCUGUCGAAUAUCCAACUUCAAACCAACCUCACUGCGGUCAGUUUGACACUGUUAGGCAAGUGCAUCUUCCUUUGAAUUUGCUGGGGAGGGAAAGUGGGAAGGAAAAUGGGUAACGCUUUGCUUGGCAACACUCAGAAGUUGCAGGUAGGUCGCUGUUUUACAGUUGCCUUUACGGGCUUAUGGUUUGGGUGCAUAUGAACCCCCCACAAGUACUUCCCUGAAGACUAGCAGGACGCUUAGCUAGUUUUGUUAAGAAGUUAGAGGGGCAUAGCUGUGGUGACAUCUGACUGUUGUUUGUUUAUUAGCUUAUUAGUUCAACAACUUAGAUGCAAGCUUAAUGGCGUCCAACGUUUUUUUACAUAAGAUUCAAGUUUGUGUCAUGGACUUACUGAGUUAGAAGCACAUAAAAGACACUCAAUCCGACCCAGAAAACUCUUUAAAUUAACUUCAUGCGACUCUGUGACUCCACCAGUGUUGUGCUAGUGACUGAAAAAUAGUAACUAGUUACAGUUACCAGUUUCUUCAUUAAAAAAGUAACUCAAUUACUCCUUUGAUUACUUAAACCAAAAAGUAAUGCAUUACUGUUAUGAGUAACUUUUUAGUUACUUUAAAAAAAAAAAGAACAUUCUUUAAUGCUACCAUUUUUGCCCUUACAGCAUAAUUUCAGUGCUGUAUGGAAAAUAAUACACUGCUGAUGAUCAACUCUAAAGUUUCUAUUAAUUUGCAUUCACAUUGCUAAACUCUGCUCAGCAUGAUGGUCUAUACAAACACAAACCUGACUCAAACAGAAAGUAAUUUUAAACGCUAAUUUAUUUAAGUAAGAACAGCAAAAACUUUUACAAACAAUACAAUGCGACUAUAUUUAGUAAGUGUUCUGAUAUAUAAAUUAAAUGUGUCACUGUGGCUACUCAGAUAACCAAUGUUUUUGUUAUACAGAUAACAAAUGUGUGCGUAUUUUUAUGAGACAAGGAAACGUGCUUGCUAGCAAGGACCUGAAUGAAUGUUUGAGUUGAGUUCUAGCCUUUGAACCAUUGGUUGUACAGUUUAACAGCUUAACAGCUUCCAAGCAGCAAAGGGAGGAAAGUGUUUACGAGCACAAAAUGACUCUUAAAUUUAUGUGUGUGCGUAUAUGUGUGCGUGUGUAUGUGUAUUGUCUAUGGUAACCUAACUCCGCUGUCACGUUGUUCCACUUCCCUGGAAACUCAGAUGAACCAGUAAGGAGAGUCUAUAAUCCUUAUGUCAUAAUUUAGUAAAUCUCUACAUAAAUUAUGGUUUUGCAUUUCCAUACAUUUGUCUGAGAUUUGUGCAGUUUACAUCUAUUUUCCAAGAUUACGACCACAUAUGUUUACCUUGUGAUUUACAACUCUGCACACAUGCAGUACGGACACAGACUUUGUAACUGCAGUUUUUUGUUGUAAAUGUGGAGAAGCAUGAUACCUCCUUGAGUGCAAGCGUUAUAGCAACAUUGCUGCGGUUGGUCGCGGAUUCAGAGCAGUGGCGGCUGCUGGUCUUUCAAGGAGGGAAAACUCAUUUUUCUGGCCUACAUCAUAAUUGUGUUUGUUUAUUAGUAUGUAACAGAACAGAGUCGCCAAACACAAUGGCAGUCGUUUUUAACAAAGACAAAAGUCGCUGAGGAUCGGUAAAGUCUCUGGAGCAGUUAAGAACAACGGAAUGAAUAACUUGGAAAAUGCUUUGGUAGAUGUUUUAUUCUUCAAGAUCGCUGAUUCGCUUGUUUAGCUGUCAAUCAAAAAAGGAUUUCGCCUCAGACAGCUCAUCCAAUCAUGGAUGCAGAAGCUCAGCGUCUGUGAGAAAGUUGGGACCGCCCUCUCGUCAUAGAACUCCAGAGACGCUGAGCGUCCGAUAGGCGGGACAAAGCCCAGCAUUUAUCCAAUGAGCGUCUAGUUUCGCUGCUGGAACAACCCACUUUGAGCUUCCACAUUGAAGUCAGCAGACGCUGAGCGUCCAGCUGUGUGAAGUGCUGAGGCGCUGCGAGAAUGAAUGAGAACGAAGUUAUGCCGGUUACCUGUGAUUAUCAGCUUCUUAUCACAGUGUGAUACAAAAGAUGAAGGCUUUCUAGCGCGUAUUUAGUUAAUGAAAUGUACACACAGCAGUACGUAUUUCACCACUUUUUCUUUUUUUGGGGGGGUGACAUUUUAAGGGAAGCUGAGCUUCCCUUGCAGUCUUAGAGCAAUCGCCACUGAUUCAGAGGUGUGGAAAGUGCAGUGGAGAUCAUGAUUUUGUGGAGUGCAAAGAUACUGGGCUCUAUUUUCGUGCCUCGCUGGAGACGUGCCGCAAGCGCAGCGUCAGUCAGAUCCGCCGCGCUGACAAGGCGUUCCCAAGCACAUUUUGGUAUUUUGGUGAGCCGCGCAGCCCGGCGUAAGUAUCCCCCCUCCCUAACUCAGCUCCUCCCAGCAGCAUAAGUCGUAGACGGGGAGGAGAAAGGGCGUGGAGUGGGUUUAACACAGCUGAGACCUGUUUUCACCAAUCACAUAAGCUCCUCUCCUUGCCUUUAAAUCCGCCACAGGCGAGGCGUAUUACUAUUUUCAUGAAGUAGUCAAAGAGAUCAAGAGAGGUCUUAAGACAGUAAUGCCACAAGAUGGCGACAGAGGGCAGCUCCUCAACAAGUGUCCUCCACACUCUCUCAUAUGAGCACAGAUGGAUUUGGUGUGUGUAAUGUUAGACCCACUAGUAAGACAAACACCCUUUUCCACAAAUAAAGACACUCACAUAAAGUUGCUCAUAUUCAAACCUCACGUGACAAAGGUGGGUUGAGCGCACAGAUCACAACAUAAACUCCAAAAAUGGCAUUAAAAUCGGAACCAUCUGUGCGUAAAUGACGCAUCGCGCUCCGUGGCCUGGCUCUUUCUUUCAUAGAUGUUGGCAUAUAAAAUAAAUUUGGCCCACAAAACUGAAUAUUAUAAUAUCCGUAUGUCGGUUUAAAGUAGAUAACGCAUCUGAGCACUGAAACAAAUCAUCUGUUCAGCCGCAGCAGCAGCAAGACGGACAGAGGACACGGAGACGUGUCCAGGUCGAGCUGUGUGAGAAAUUAGAGGAAGGGGAAGAAAGAAAAGGAGGGAGACGAAUUACAUAUCUUGUUAACUUCAUCAUGUGUGUUUAUUUACUGGAUAUUUAAUUUAAUUUGAUGCGGUUUCAGCUGUGUUGAUUCGGUCAGGUUGUGUGUCCAAACGCGUGCCAAACGCGCUCAUCAGAUCACAUAUAGAUCAGAAUAUAUCUAUAUAGAUCUAAAUGUAUGUGCUGACUCAGAUUAAUAGUUGAUGAUGAUUAUUAUUGUACUGAAAUGUGCCUGACACUGUGGAAACCUGCCGGUGAGGCAUCAGCGACGUAUGCCGAUACGCCGCCGGUCUACCAAAAUACUACUAGACCAGCUGCGUUCCGCCAUGCGCUGAAAGCUGACCAGGUUUGAAUCGGCGAGCUUUCAGCGCACUUUACACGCCGGUGGCGAGCACGAAAAUGUCACUGCGCCUGCUGAUUCUGUCGACACCUCCCCCUGCCACGCCACC